rnacentral:rRNA from 1 species
GGGGAAUAUUGCACAAUGGGGGAAACCCUGAUGCAGCGACGCCGCGUGGAGGAAGAAGGUCUUCGGAUUGUAAACUCCUGUUGUUGAGGAAGAUAAUGACGGUACUCAACAAGGAAGUGACGGCUAACUACGUGCCAGCAGCCGCGGUAAAACGUAGGUCACAAGCGUUGUCCGGAAUUACUGGGUGUAAAGGGAGCGCAGGCGGGAAGACAAGUUGGAAGUGAAAUCUAUGGGCUCAACCCAUAAACUGCUUUCAAAACUGUUUUUCUUGAGUAGUGCAGAGGUAGGCGGAAUUCCCGGUGUAGCGGUGGAAUGCGUAGAUAUCGGGAGGAACACCAGUGGCGAAGGCGGCCUACUGGGCACCAACUGACGCUGAGGCUCGAAAGUGUGGGUAGCAAACAGGAUUAGAUACCCUGGUAGUCCACACCGUAAACGAUGAUUACUAGGUGUUGGAGGAUUGACCCCUUCAGUGCCGCAGUUAACACAAUAAGUAAUCCACCUGGGGAGUACGACCGCAAGGUUGAAACUCAAAGGAAUUGACGGGGGCCCGCACAAGCAGUGGAGUAUGUGGUUUAAUUCGACGCAACGCGAAGAACCUUACCAAGUCUUGACAUCCUGCGACGCACAUAGAAAUAUGUGUUUCCUUCGGGACGCAGAGACAGGUGGUGCAUGGUUGUCGUCAGCUCGUGUCGUGAGAUGUUGGGUUAAGUCCCGCAACGAGCGCAACCCUUACUGUCAGUUACUACGCAAGAGGACUCUGGCAGGACUGCCGUUGACAAAACGGAGGAAGGUGGGGAUGACGUCAAAUCAUCAUGCCCUUUAUGACUUGGGCUACACACGUACUACAAUGGCGUUAAACAAAGAGAAGCAAUCCCGCGAGGGGGAGCAAAUCUCAAAAAUAACGUCUCAGUUCGGACUGUAGUCUGCAACUCGACUACACGAAGCUGGAAUCGCUAGUAAUCGCGAAUCAGAAUGUCGCGGUGAAUACGUUCCCG